AACCUCCGCAAUGUGAGAAAUCGCGACGGGGGGAUCCCAAGUGCCAUUCUUAACGGGAUGGCUUUUCAUUAGUGUAAAGAGUUUUUAGAAGUAAGGCUGGGCAAGACCGGUGCCAGCCGCCGCGGUAACACCGGCAGCUCUAGUGGUAGCAGUUUUUAUUGGGCCUAAAGCGUCCGUAGCCGGUUUAAUAAGUCUCUGGUGAAAUCCUGUAGCUUAACUGUGGGAAUUGCUGGAGAUACUAUUAGACUUGAGACCGGGAGAGGUUAGAGGUACUCCCAGGGUAGAGGUGAAAUUCUGUAAUCCUGGGAGGACCGCCUGUUGCGAAGGCGUCUAACUGGAACGGUUCUGACGGUGAGGGACGAAAGUUAGGGGCGCGAACCGGAUUAGAUACCCGGGUAGUCCUAACUGUAAACGAUGCGGACUUGGUGUUGGGGUGGCUUUGAGCUGCUCCAGUGCCGAAGGGAAGCUGUUAAGUCCGCCGCCUGGGAAGUACGGUCGCAAGACUGAAACUUAAAGGAAUU
rnacentral:rRNA from 1 species